GGGGGAUGGGGACACCAUGGGGGGAUGGGGACAUUAUGGGGUCAUGGGGACACCAUGGGGGGAUGGGGACACUUUAAUGUGAUGGGGUCAUCAUGGAAGGAUGGGGACAUUGUGGGGUGAUGGGGACACCAUAGAAGGAUGGGGAGACCCCAAUGGGAUGGGGACACCAUGGAAGGAUGGGGACAUUAUGGGGUGAUGGGGACACCAUGGGGGGAUGGGGACACCACAGUGUGAUGGGGACACUUUAAUGGGAUGGGGACCCCACUAUGUGAUGAGGACAUUAUGGGGUGAUGGGGACACCAUAGAAGGAUGGGACACACCAGUGGGAUGGGGACACCACAGUGGGAUGGGGACGUUGUGGGGUGAUGGGGACACCAUGGAGUGAUGGGGACACCUCAUUGUAAUGGGGACACCACAGUGGGAUGGGGACAUUGUGGGGUGAUGGGGACACCACAUGUGAUGGGGACACUUUAAUGGGAUGGGGACAUUGUGGGGUGAUGGGGACAUUAUGGGGGGAUGGGGACAUUGUUGGGGGAUGGGGACAUUGUGGGGUCAUGGGGACACCCCAAUGGGAUGGGGACAGUAUGGAGUGAUGGGGACACCUCAUUGUAAUGGGGACACCAUGGGGGGAUGGGGACACCACAGUGGGAUGGGGACACCACAGAAGGAUGGGGACACUUUAAUGGGAUGGGGACAUUGUGGAAGGAUGGGGACAGCAUGGAAGGAUGGGGACACCAUGGGGUGAUGUGGAGACCCCAAUGGGAUGGGGACACCAUGGAAGGAUGGGGACAUUAUGGGGUGAUGGGGACACCUCAUUGUAAUGGGGACACCACAGAAGGAUGGGGACACCACAGUGGGAUGGGGACAUUGUGGGGGGAUGGGGACACCAUGGGGGGAUGGGGACACUUUAAUGUGAUGGGGUCAUCAUGGAAGGAUGGGGACAUUGUGGGGUGAUGGGGACGCCAUGGGGGGAUGGGGAGACCCCAAUGGGAUGGGGACACCAUGGGGGGAUGGGGACACCA
ensembl:lncRNA